rnacentral:rRNA from 1 species
CCUACGGGUGGCUGCAGUGGGGGAUAUUGCACAAUGGGGGAAACCCUGAUGCAGCGACGCCGCGUGAGUGAAGAAGGAUUUCGUUAUGUAAAGCUCUGUCAGCAGUGAAGAAAAUGACGGUAGCUGAGGAAGAAGCUCCGGCUAACUACGUGCCAGCAGCCGCGGUAAUACGUAGGGGGCAAGCGUUGUCCGGAUUUACUGGGUGUAAAGGGAGCGUAGACGGCAGUGCAAGUCUGGAGUGAAAGGCGGGGGCUCAACCCACGGACUGCUCUGGAAACUGUACGGCUGGAGUGCAGGAGAGGUAAGUGGAAUUCCUAGUGUAGCGGUGAAAUGCGUAGAGAUCAGGAGGAACACCAGUGGCGAAGGCGGCUUACUGGACUGUAACUGACGUUGAGGCUCGAAAGCGUGGGGAGCAAACAGGAUUAGAUACCCCAGUAGUC